CAGAGUUUCCAACUGCAAGUUCAAAACCCUUCCAAAUUAAAGAAAAUAACUGUGCAUGAUAUGCAUCAAUUCAAGGGUUUAAAAGGUAUGUUCUCACCUCAGAUAUCCCAAUGCUUAGAAGAACUCAUAAUAAUGAACUUCAAUAACCUAGAGGAGAUUCUUUUUGAUGAAAACCAAGCAGUAGUCCAAGAUGAUCAACCCCAAUUUUUAGCCCUCAAAACACUCACAGUAAUGAAUUGUGACUCUAGUGCGAGAUGUCCUAUUUCAUCUCUAUCAGCUCGAAGUUUGCCAAAACUGGAGUACAUUGAUUUAUCUGAUUCCCAUGGAUUGAGAAACGUCUUCCCUGCAUCCCUUACUCGGAAUGUUCCUCAAUUGAAGAAACUUGAUGUGAGAAAUUGCAAAUCCAUGCAAGAAAUAGUUGCAAAAGAGGAUGACGAAGAAGGCGUUGAUAAGAUAACAUUUUCCCAGCUCACGCAUUUAAACCUUGCCGGGUUGCAAUGCCUCGUAAGUAUCUGUGGAUGUGGUGUUUUGUCUGAUUGGCCUUUGUUGGAAGAAGUAUCUGUGCUCGAUUGUCCAAAUUUAUAGCAUCUUCCUUUCCGACAUCAAAAUGCUCCCAAGAUCAAUAAAAUUGAAAUUGUCAAUCGGAAGCAGACACUCAAGGAAUUACAUGAGUCUUUCUCGGAAGAGGUCAAAGAGUUCGGAAAAGUAAUUCAUCUGUAUGGAAGAGACAAUAUGAACAAUGGUUGAAACACAUGUAGGGUUCACCCAAAUGAUAAUAAAGAUAUGUCCAUGAGGAUGACCAUGUGAGGCGAAAUGACGAGGAAACAUGCAAGUAUUAGUUCCAUCAUCCGUGGCCUCAACAUCCAAUUAAACACAUGGUAUCUCAACUGAUCGAGCAACUGGAAUAUUGAGAAGGAUAACGCAUUAUAUAUCUGUUUCUUUCCAUAUUAUGUAUUGUUGUGUCAGUCCUCUGGUUAGUUGUGUGGAGGGUUCUUUUGCUUUUACAUUAUGUGUUAGUUCUCCAGUUGAUUGGUAUUGGUAUGGAGGGUGAUUUCAAUUUUUUUUUUUUUUUGAUUCAAGGUUGAUUGUGUGUGUCUUAUUAUCAUUUUUCCCACAGGUUGAUUGUGUUGUUCAGUCGUAUAAGUUAAUACUUUAAAUUAUGUUUUCAUACCUAAUAAGGGUCAUUUACAUUGGCCAUACCUUUAUUUAUUUAUGUAAUUAUUUUGGCUUCACCACCAUUUUAUAGCUUUAUUGUUGUGU